GGGGGGGGCAAGCGUUGUUCGGAAUUACUGGGCGUAAAGGGCUCGUAGGCGGCCCUCUAAGUCAGACGUGAAAUCCCUCGGCUUAACCGGGGAACUGCGUCUGAUACUGGAGGGCUUGAGUUUGGGAGAGGGAUGCGGAAUUCCAGGUGUAGCGGUGAAAUGCGUAGAUAUCUGGAGGAACACCGGUGGCGAAGGCGGCAUCCUGGACCAACACUGACGCUGAGGAGCGAAAGCCAGGGGAGCAAACGGGAUUAGAUACCCCGGUAGUCCUGGCCCUAAACGAUGAAUGCUUGGUGUGACGGGUAUCGAUCCCUGUCGUGCCGAAGCUAACGCAUUAAGCAUUCCGCCUGGGGAGUACGGUCGCAAGGCUGAA
rnacentral:rRNA from 1 species